UGGGGAAUAUUGCACAAUGGGGGAAACCCUGAUGCAGCAACGCCGCGUGAAGGAUGAAGGUAUUCGUAUUGUAAACUUCUUUGAUUGGGGACGAAAAAAAUGACGGUACCCAAGGAACAAGCCACGGCUAACUACGUGCCAGCAGCCGCGGUAAUACGUAGGUGGCGAGCGUUGUCCGGAAUUACUGGGUGUAAAGGGCGUGUAGGCGGGUUUGAAAGUCAGAUGUGAAAGCCCAUGGCUUAACCAUGGAACUGCAACUGAAACUUCGAAUCUUGAGUACUGGAGAGGAAAGCGGAAUUCCUAGUGUAGCGGUGAAAUGCGUAGAUAUUAGGAGGAACACCAGUGGCGAAGGCGGCUUUCUGGACAGAAACUGACGCUGAGGCGCGAAAGCGUGGGGAGCAAACAGG
rnacentral:rRNA from 1 species